UACGAAGGGGGCUAGCGUUGCUCGGAAUUACUGGGCGUAAAGGGAGCGUAGGCGGAUAGUUUAGUCAGAGGUGAAAGCCCAGGGCUCAACCCUGGAAUUGCCUUUGAUACUGGCUAUCUUGAGUAUGGGAGAGGUUAGCGGAACUCCGAGUGUAGAGGUGAAAUUCGUAGAUAUUCGGAAGAAACACCAGUGGCGAAGGGCGGCUAACUG
rnacentral:rRNA from 1 species